AGAGUUUGAUCCUGGCUCAGAACAAACGCUGGCGGCGUGCCUAACACAUGCAAGUCGUACGAGAAAGUCCGCUUCGGUGGAUGAGUAAAGUGGCGCACGGGUGAGUAACGCGUGGAUAAUCUACCCUUUAGUCUGGAAUAACUUAUCGAAAGGUGAACUAAUACCGGAUAAUAUCCCGAUUUCUUCGGCGAUCGGGAUCAAAGAAGGCCUCUGCUUGCAAGCUUUCACUGAAGGAUGAGUCCGCGUACCAUUAGCUAGUUGGCAGGGUAAUGGCCUACCAAGGUUAUGAUGGUUAGCUGGUCUGAGAGGAUGAUCAGCCACACUGGAACUGAAACACGGUCCAGACUCCUACGGGAGGCAGCAGUGAGGAAUAUUGCGCAAUGGGGGCAACCCUGACGCAGCAACGCCGCGUGAGUGAGGAAGGUUUUCGGAUUGUAAGCUCUGGUCGAGCGGAAAGAAGUGCAUGGUGGUUAAUAUCCAUCAUGCUUGACGGUACCGCUAAAGGAAGCACCGGCUAACUCCGUGCCAGCAGCCGCGGUAAUACGGGGGGUGCAAGCGUUGUUCGGAAUCAUUGGGCGUAAAGCGCGUGUAGGCGGCUGGACAAGUCAGAUGUGAAAGCCCUGGGCUUAACCCAGGAAGUGCAUUUGAAACUGUUCAGCUAGAGUAAGGGAGAGGAAAGUGGAAUUCCUGGUGUAGAGGUGAAAUUCGUAGAUAUCAGGAGGAACACCGGUGGCGAAGGCGACUUUCUGGCCCUAUACUGACGCUGAGACGCGAAAGCGUGGGUAGCAAACAGGAUUAGAUACCCUGGUAGUCCACGCUGUAAACGAUGUUCCCUAGGUGUUGGGGGUAUUGACCCUUCCAGUGCCGCAGCUAACGCAU
rnacentral:rRNA from 1 species